AAUACCCUAUUAUUUUAAAAGUAAAUAAUUAAGCCUAAUUAGUAAAAGUUAAGUUCUUAAAAAUUAAAGAAUCUGGCGGUAUUUUAGUCUAUUCAGAGGAAUCUGUCCUAUAAUUGAUAAUCCACGAUUUUUUAUACCUAUUUUAUUAAUUUACAUAUCGCCGUAGUUUGAAUAUUUUUUGAAAAUUAUAAUAUUCAUAAUUUAUUUAAUAAAAAAAAUCAGGUCAAGGUGUAGUUUAUAGAUAGGAAGAGAUGGGUUACAAUAAAAGUAUUUAUUAUGGAUUAAUUAAUUAAAUUUUUUUAUGAAGGUGGAUUUGAAAGUAAUUUUAUUUA
rnacentral:rRNA from 1 species